rnacentral:rRNA from 1 species
UGAACGCUAGCGGCAGGCUUAACACAUGCAAGUCGAGGGGCAGCGCGAGUAGUAAUACUUGGCGGCGACCGGCGCACGGGUGCGUAACGCGUAUGCAACCUACCUAUAACUGGAGAAUAGGUCUCGGAAACGGGAAUUAAUGCUCCAUAAUAUUCUUUAUCCUCAUGGAUUUUGAAUUAAAGCUCCGGCGGUUAUAGAUGGGCAUGCGUAACAUUAGGUAGUUGGUGAGGUAACGGCUCACCAAGCCAACGAUGUUUAGGGGUUCUGAGAGGAUUAUCCCCCACACUGGUACUGAGACACGGACCAGACUCCUACGGGAGGCAGCAGUGAGGAAUAUUGGUCAAUGGACGCAAGUCUGAACCAGCCAUGCCGCGUGCAGGAUGACAGCUCUAGUAGUUGUAAACUGCUUUUAUUUGGGAAGAAACCCUCCUAUGUAUAGGGGGCUGACGGUACCAUUUGAAUAAGCACCGGCUAACUCC